UACGUAGGGUGCAAGCGUUAAUCGGAAUUACUGGGCGUAAAGCGUGCGCAGGCGGUUUUGUAAGUCUGUCGUGAAAUCCCCGGGCUCAACCUGGGAAUUGCGAUGUAGACUGCAAGGCUAGAAUCUGGCAGAGGGGGGUAGAAUUCCACGUGUAGCAGUGAAAUGCGUAGAGAUGUGGAGGAACACCGAUGGCGAAGGCAGCCCCCUGGGUCAAGAUUGACGCUCAUGCACGAAAGCGUGGGGAGCAAACAGG
rnacentral:rRNA from 1 species